rnacentral:rRNA from 1 species
AGUUCAAGAGUACGUGAAACCGUUCAGGGGUAAACCUGAGAAACCCAAAAGUUCGAAAAGGGAGAUUCAUCGUCAACGACUGCCGGCUCCCGUGGCGCGCGAUGCCUCUCGUCCUCGGACGGGCGGGCACGCCGCCGCGGCGAACGUUCCGGCGUCGCGGACGUGCACUUCUCCCUUAGUAGGACGUCGCGACCCGUUGGGUGUCGGCCUACGGCUCGAGCGGGAGUCUGCCGCUUCGGCGGCAAACCCUCGAAUCCCUGGCCGACCGCACGACGGUAGUAAAGACGGUAUCAGGUCGCAACAAGUGCGUCAGGCCCGCCGCAAGUCGGAACCUCUCUCCGGAGGGGGACCGGCUGUUAGCUGGCGGUGUUGUCGGACUGGCCGAAAUACCUGUCGGCGACGCUAUUGCUUUGGGUACUCUCAGGACCCGUCUUGAAACACGGACCAAGGAGUCUAACAUGUGCGCGAGUCAUUGAGAUUUAUCAAACUUAAAGGCGAAAUGAAAGUGAAGGUCGGCCUCCGCGCCGACCGAGGGAGGAUGGGCCGCGUGCAAAUGCGGCCUCGCACUCCCGGGGCGUCUCGUUCUCAUUGCGAGAUGAGGCGCACCCAGAGCGUACACGUUGGGACCCGAAAGAUGGUGAACUAA